rnacentral:rRNA from 1 species
AGAGUUUGAUCCUGGCUCAGAUUGAACGCUGGCGGCAGGCCUAACACAUGCAAGUCGAGCGGUAACAGGGAUAGCUUGCUAUCUGCUGACGAGCGGCGUGUGCGUAACACGUAGGAAUCUGCCCGGUAGUGGGGGAUAGCCCGAAGAAAUUCGGAUUAAUACCGCAUACGCCUUACGAGGGAAAGCAGGGGCUCUUGUUCUUCUAUGAAGAGCGGACCUUGCGCUAUCGGAUGAGCCUGCGUCGGAUUAGCUAGUUGGUGGGGUAAAGGCCUACCAAGGCGACGAUCCGUAGCUGGUCUGAGAGGAUGAUCACCCACACUGGGACUGAGACACGGCCCAAACUCCUACGGGAGGCAGCAGUGGGGAAUAUUGCACAAUGGGCGCAAGCCUGAUGCACCCAUGCCGCGUGUGUGAAGAAGGCCUUAGGGUUGUAAAGCACUUUCAGCGAGGAGGAAAGGUUAUAAGUUAAUACCUUAUAGUUGUGACGUACUCGCAAAAGAAGCACCGGCUAACUCCGUGCCAGCAGCCGCGGUAAUACGGAGGGUGCAAGCGUUAAUCGGAAUUACUGGGCGUAAAGCGUGCGUAGGCGGCUGCCUAAGUUGGAUGUGAAAGCCCCGGGCUCAACCUGGGAACUGCAUCCAAAACUGGGCAGCUAGAGUGCGGAAGAGGAGUGUGGAAUUUCCUGUGUAGCGGUGA